AGUCCAACAGAUAUUGCUACUACCUGAUUUUCUUAUAUAUCCAAAAUGGCACUUCUUAGACACAGAGCUAAUUCAAAAGAAUUAAGCACACAUUAUUUAAAAAAAGAAAGAGGUGGGAGCGGGGGGAAUGGAGACAGAACCGUGUUUUGAUCAAGAUCAACAGCUCUGAUGCAUGGAUAAGAUGGUGGAGACCGUUGAUUUCUGGCAGACUUGGAGGAUACAGAAGCAGCGGUAAAAGUAGAAAAUUUAAGAGGACAGCAUAGAAAU
rnacentral:misc_RNA from 1 species